AUACAUGUUGAGUGUCUCCAUCUUACAAUUGAGAUUACGAAGCAGCAGCCAACCCACCUGCUCGGACUCACCCUGCCUGCCUGCCUUCAGACAGGACAGGGAGCUGCUGUGCAAACCGCUGAACUCUCUGCUCCCAGGGAUGCUGAUUGCCAUCAGCCGGGUCAGCAAGACCGAAACGAGGAAGCAAAGAGAGCGAGGAGGGCAAUGCGCUGCUUCUGUGUGGCUCUGAGCCGGGUGUGCUGCUCUGUAGGGCUGCAUUGGGCAUCACAGACAGCCCUCACUAUGAAGAGAGGACAGCAGGAAUGGGCAGAUGUUACAGUGAAUUGGGCAACUGAAAACCGAAUCCCGUGGGCUACUCCUGAAGACCUAUCUACUAUGGCAGUUUCCUUAAUUCCAGAGGAUAACUUCGCAUCGUCCGAAGUAACAUCGUAGGCCGGCGAAGGGCUGCCAUCCCGUCCGGAGGUCCGAGACGACAACCCUUUGCCGGCCCCGGGGACAAGGCGAGGCGUGGCGGAGGGCUGCGUCAGGCGGCGGGCAGCCACUGGCACGGGAGCUCCCCCCGCCUCGCCCCCCGCCGCGGGGAUAAAGGCGGCGGGCGCGG
rnacentral:lncRNA from 1 species